UUACGGCCAUAUCCCGUUGAAACAUCGAUUCUCAUAUGAUCACUGGAUUUAAGCAACUUCGUGCCUGGUCAGUACUUAGAUGGGGGACCGCUUGGGAAUACACGUUGCUGUAAG